CCUGGUCGAUGAUGAUGGUGAAAAUUUUCGCGCUUUAAUAAAAUUACUGCAAGACAAAUUUAACGAUAAAGAAACGGAAAAAUCAUUGAAAAUACAGAUUUUAACAUUAUUACCUGAACAAUGGAGUGAAAGACGUAUUUCUGAAACUAUGAAUACAUCAAGACAUAUGUCAAGGGUAGCAAAAGCGUUGGUUGAAGAAAAAGGUCUACUUUCAGUACCUGAAUCAAAAUUAGGGAGAAAAAUUGCAGAUCAAGUGAAAUUGAAAGUUGAAAAUUUUUAUAAUGAUGAUGAGUACAGUGCUCCGAUGCCAGGUAUGAAAGAUUUUGUUUCAGUUCGAAAUGAUGAUGGUAAUCGAGUACCCGUCCAAAAAAAGACUUGUCCUGUCUAACUUAAAAGAAUUAUACCAAUGUUUUCGGGAAAUAAACGCUACAGAGAAAAUUGGAUUUUCGAGAUUUGCUUCUCUGCGACCUAAACAUUGUGUGUUAGCAGGGGCAAGUGGAACACAUACCAUCUGUGUCUGUAUGAUCCAUCAAAACGUUAAGUUAAUGAUGCUUGGUGCGAAUAUUCAUUCUCUAACAAGAAAUACAGAUAUAUCCAUUACACACUAUAGUGAUUGUUUGAGUUUGAUUGUAUGUAAAUCUCCAUCGUUUCUAUGUUAUUUGGGUAGAUGUGAAAACUGUCCAGGGAUAGAUGAAAAAUUACGCGUUCGUAGUGCAAAACGCGGCAUCUGGUUUUCACUGGAACAAUAAUCAAGCAACAAUUUUCCCAGUAGUGAUUUAUUAUAAAGUAAAUGGCGAACUUGAACACAAAAGUUUAGUAAUUAUUUCAGAUUGUAAUAAUCAUGAUGCCGUUGCCGUACAUGUUUUUAUCAAAUUAUUAACUGACUAUGUGAAAAGUCUUCCUGAACGUUGUAACAAAAUUUAUUAUUUUUCUGACGGGGCUCCUCAACAAUUUAAAAACUUUAAAAACUUCGUAAAUUUAUAUUAUCACGAAGAGGAUUUCGACAUUCCUGCUGAAUGGCAUUUUUUUGCGACAGCCCAUGGCAAAGGUCCAUGUGAUGGUAUUGGUGGUACCAUUAAACGAUAUGCAGCAAGAGCAAGUCUCCAACUUGCGGUUGACAAACAAAUAACAACGCCUGAAGAACUCUUUGAAUGGACUUCUGAUCCGGACAACUUGCCAAACAUCAUAACUAAGUUUUCCCCAGAAGAGGAUUAUAAAACAGCAGUAAAUGAUUUAAAUGAAAGAUUUUUAAAAACAAAACCGAUCACAGGAACUCAACAAUUACACUGUAUAAUUCCAGACAAAAAUGG